rnacentral:rRNA from 1 species
GUGGGGAAUCUUGCGCAAUGGCCGAAAGGCUGACGCAGCGACGCCGCGUGUGGGAGGACGCCCUUCGGGGUGUAAACCACUGUUGCCCGGGACGAACACACCGUUUCGACGGUGCUGACGGUACCGGGUGAGGAAGCACCGGCUAACUCCGUGCCAGCAGCCGCGGUAAUACGGAGGGUGCGAGCGUUGUCCGGAAUCACUGGGCGUAAAGGGCGCGUAGGCGGCUUCUUAAGCGUGCGGUGAAAGCUCGGGGCUCAACCCCGAGUCGGCCGUGCGAACUGGGGAGCUCGAGCACUGUAGAGGCAGGUGGAAUUCCGGGUGUAGCGGUGGAAUGCGUAGAGAUCCGGAAGAACACCGGUGGCGAAGGCGGCCUGCUGGGCAGUGGCUGACGCUGAGGCGCGACAGCGUGGGGAGCAAACAGG